GCAUUGGUGGUCCAGUGGUGAGAUCCUUGCCUUCCACACAGGAGCCCUGGGUUCCAUUCCCAGUCGAUGCA
rnacentral:tRNA from 1 species